rnacentral:other from 1 species
ACCUACCUGGGGUGCAGGCUAGUCGCUACGUCCUUGACCGAUAUUACUACCAAGGGAAUUUCUGAUGGCGCUGUUGUGCAUGUCCGCGAGCCGGAAAGCCUGAUGUGUCACGGAGAUACCCACCUUGAACCUUUCGGUUCAAGGCUAAGUCGACGGCGGCACUUCCGGGUACCUU